ensembl:lncRNA
AACUACGACUGCGCUAACAGUGAUAUUUAUUUCAAUCCGACAUUCAAAUUAAAAUAUGGAAUAAUAUUCAUAACAGAAGCUCCAAAUAUUACAUUUACAUUUACAUUUACAUUUAGUCAUUUAGCAGACGCUUUUAUCCAAAGCGACUUACAAAUGAGGACAAUGGAAGCAAUCAAAAACAACAGAAGAGCAAUGAUAUAUAAGUGCUAUUAAUUCUGCGACUAGAGUUGGGUAAGUGAUUGUUUGGAUUUCAAUUAUGUGUCAUUACUAGUGGUGGGCAUAGAUUAAUUUUUUUUAAUCUAGAUUAAUCUCACUGUAAUCUUGGAAUUAAUCUAGAUUAAUCUAGAUUAAAAUGGCUAAUUUGAAGUAAAUCUUUGAGAACGGGUUUCUCAAACCAGGUGGCGCAUUAGACCAGGGGCUCAUCUCCUGUUUCCAAAAUGCAUCACAAACUGCUUGAGAAAGCUGUUUUACUACUAUAAUAAUUGGUGAUGAAAAUAAAUUAUGUUCAAUAAGAUGUACUUGUUAGUACUGAUAGAGCUGUGCUGCACUCAAACAUAGUAGUUUGACGACGACUCUUCCCCUGCGCUACAUCAGUGCUUGGCCCGGCAUCUUCCGCAUCAGCUAAGGGAUGCUUUGCGUUUAGGUGAUACUUGAGAC